GCCUGGGUGGCUCAGUUGGUCGAGCGUCCGACUUUGGCUCGGGUCGUGAUCUCACAGUUCGUGAGUUCGAGCCCCACAUCAGGCU
rnacentral:tRNA from 1 species